rnacentral:rRNA from 1 species
CCUACGGGGGACAGCAGUCGAGAAUCAUUCACAAUGGGGGAAACCCUGAUGGUGCGACGCCGCGUGGGGGAAUGAAGGUCUUCGGAUUGUAAACCCCUGUCAUGUGGGAGCAAAUUAAAAAGAUAGUACCACAAGAGGAAGAGACGGCUAACUCGGUGCCAGCAGCCGCGGUAAUACAGAGGUCUCAAGCGUUGUUCGGAACCACUGGGCGUAAGGCGUGCGUAGGCUGUUUCGUAAGUCGUGUGUGAAAGGCGCGGGCUCAACCCGCGGACGGCACAUGAUACUGCGAGACUAGAGUAAUGGAGGGGGAACCGGAAUGUACGGUGUAGCAGUGAAAUGCGUAGAUAUCGAGAGGAACACUCGUGGCGAAGGCGGGUUCCUGGACAUUAACUGACGCUGAGGCACGAAGGCCAGGGGAGCGAAAGGGAUUAGAUACCCUUGUAGUC